GUCGCGAGGAGCUGGGGAGCCUUAUAGUUUUCGGAAAUGGACUCGUGGUUCGAUGACGUGGCAGCACAAGGCUCGAUGAGUUGGCAUUCUAGGUGGCGCACGAGUUGUAGGUCGCGUCCCUUCGUCCUGCAUGGCGGUUAGGUGUACGCGUGGCAUCCGUAUGGCUGUGACUAUUCAGAAAUUGGUGAAUAGGCAUGAUGAAUGGACACUUCACUUCAUGGUUCAAUCUGGGCCGUCAGAUCAUAAAAAUAGUGCGAUCCAAUGGCUAAGACGAAUCAGACCAAGUGGUGCACCAGUUCCUGAAAUGUCACACACCUGUUCCAUGAGACACUUCAAUCUCUAUAAAUAGGGACCCCCAUAUUCGUUUUUUGACACACCAAAUCAAUUACGAAUUCAAUUGAUUUCUAAAUUCUUCUAUCUCCAUAUUCUGCUCGUAAAAAAUCUCUUAUACUUCCGUCGUUAUUCCGUUCAAGUACGAUCAUUCAUUGGUUCGACCGACAAGGUUGGUAUUGUGCAGUAUCGACUUUGGAAGGAGCGUUGUAUCUUGGGAGACAGACGUCCAUAAUCCCGUUUGCACUUCAUUGGGGGGCGAAAUCUGUCUUAAGGAGAUUUGCUUACUUUAUUGGCAUACCUCGCUUCAUUUACUGUCUAUUUUUCUGCUUAUUUUAUUUCUUCUUUUGAUUGCGUUAGUCGAAUUUCCGACAACAAUCUUAAGACAGAUUGCUUAUUUUUUCACUUCUUCUACAUUUCUAUUAUUAAUUAUUUUCUGUAAUUGUGGUUUUACAGAAAAUGGCUAGUACAUCAAAUAAUAAUACUAGCGCUGUGAUUGGUACUAUUGAGAGCAAUACUAAUGCGGUGAUUGCGCCAAAUUCAGGUUCCAAUCAAUUUGUCAUGCCGCCGGCUUCACAAUAUGAGAAACCGGAAAAGUUCAAUGGCACGGAUUUCAAACGUUGGCAACAGAAGAUGCUAU
rnacentral:lncRNA from 1 species